AUUCAUCAACUCACCUCGUUUUGCGACGAAGUGCAGCUUGGACUUGGAGUUCGUCGGCGUCAGUCGACCUCUCUGAAAUGCAUUAGCCCUCUCUUAACUUGGCCGACAAGUGUAGUAAUCAUCUGAUCUCACUUAACGGUCCUGUGGAGGUUGGGCUGACAAAAAUCACACAUUCAUUCU
rnacentral:misc_RNA from 1 species